rnacentral:rRNA from 1 species
CUACCCUUGACAUGUCCGGAAUCCUGCAGAGAUGCGGGAGUGCCCGAAAGGGAAUCGGAACACAGGUGCUGCAUGGCUGUCGUCAGCUCGUGUCGUGAGAUGUUGGGUUAAGUCCCGCAACGAGCGCAACCCUUAUCAUUAGUUGCUACGCAAGGGCACUCUAAUGAGACUGCCGGUGACAAACCGGAGGAAGGUGGGGAUGACGCCAAGUCCUCAUGGCCCUUAUGGGUAGGGCUUCACACGUCAUACAAUGGUCGGUACAGAGGGUUGCCAAGCCGCGAGGUGGAGCCAAUCCCAGAAAGCCGAUCGUAGUCCGGAUUGUUCUCUGCAACUCGAGAGCAUGAAGUCGGAAUCGCUAGUAAUCGCGGAUCAGCAUGUCGCGGUGAAUACGUUCCC